UACAUGGGGUGCAAGCGUUACUCGGAAUCACUGGGCGUAAAGAGCGCGUAGGCGGCUUGGUAAGUCUGAUGUGAAAGCCCCGGACUCAAUUCGGGAAGUGCAUUGGAUACUGCUAGGCUGGAGUACAGGAGAGGUGAACGGAAUUCCUGGUGUAGAGGUGAAAUUCGUAGAUAUCAGGAGGAACAACAGUGGCGAAGGCGGUUCACUGGACUGUUACUGACGCUGAGGCGCGAAAGCGUGGGGAGCAAACAGG
rnacentral:rRNA from 1 species